UCGGAUGUGGUGUAGGGAACACGGCCUCUCCAAAUUACAUGACAGCAAUCUAGUAAAGUCGGAAGCAGCUCCGGGUUCGACUCCCGGCGUCUGAA